CUUAAAUUGGGCCAAAUUGGUAUUAACAGCAUGAGGCUCUUAAUCUCAGGGUUGUGGGUUCAAGCCCCACGCCGGGUGAAAGA